rnacentral:tRNA from 3 species
UGGAUAUUAGUUAAUAUUUUAUAACAAUUAAAUUGCAUUUAAUAAUAAUUAAUAAUUUAAUAUAUCUAA